rnacentral:SRP_RNA from 1 species
GCCGGGUGUGGUGGUGCACACCUGUAAUCCCAGCUACUCAGGAGGCUGAGACAGGAGAAUCGCUUGAACUCGGGAGUUGGAGGUUGCAGUGAGCCGAGAUUGUGCCACUGCACUCCAGCCCGGGCGACAGAGUGAGACUCCGUCUCUA